UUGACCUCGGAUCAGGUAGGACUACCCGCUGAACUUAAGCAUAUCAAUAAGCGGAGGAAAAGAAACCAACAGGGAUUGCCCUAGUAACGGCGAGUGAAGCGGCAACAGCUCAAAUUUGAAAUCUGGCCCUCGGGCCCGAGUUGUAAUUUGUAGAGGAUGCUUUUGGUGCGGUGCCUUCCGAGUUCCCUGGAACGGGACGCCAUAGAGGGUGAGAGCCCCGUCUGGUCGGACGCCAAUCCUCUGUAAAGCUCCUUCGACGAGUCGAGUAGUUUGGGAAUGCUGCUCUAAAUGGGAGGUAUA
rnacentral:rRNA from 1 species